CMGAUAGCAAACCAAGUWCCGUGAAGGGAARGUUGAAAAGUACUUUGAAGAGAGAGGUAAAACAGUGCGUGGAAACYUGCUCAAAGGUAAACGGGUGGAGUUGAACUGCAAGCUCCGGGGAUUCAGCUGAUGAGUGUGAUUGCGKUUCGGGCAGCUWGCCCGGCCCUUCUGAUGUCUGKUCUAGUGGCAGGUGCCUUCCCCUUGGGGGUUGGUAUGUGUGAUGGCGCUUACCAUGCGCCGCACGCAUUGGGGGGUGAUGGGUCUGCUUGUCAGUGCACUUUCUCGGGGUGUUCACCACGACCGGCACAGCCGUCUGUCUGCUUUGGUCAAACUGAUCAGGUCUGGUUAUUGCUAGGCUUGGUUGGGAUGGAAGGUAGCCCGUGUUCACUUGUUGGACUUUGGGUAUAAUAAGCUGGCCACUGUGGAUCUGUAUGGUGUGUCGGAGAUGGCGGCUUUGCAUGCGUGCUCUGUCCUGCGGGCGGGAUUGAGUCCGGUUGGCUUGUUACUGACUUCGGUUAGUCGGUCGAUGGCUUAGUCUUGUUCAGUGGGCGGUUGCGUGUGUGACUUGGCUUGGGCCAAUAGUCUGUGGUGUAGUGGUAGACGAUCCACCUGACCCGUCUUGAAACACGGACCAAGGAGUUUAACAUAUGCGCGAGUCAUUGGGCGUUACGAAACCCAAAGGCGAAGUGAAGGUAAAGGUUUGGCUAGUCCGAACUGAGGUGAGAUCCCGUUGGUUUGYCUAAUUACUUACCGAGCUGUGAACAGCGGGGCGCAUCMACCGGCCCGUCCCAUGGCGUAGACAUGUGACCUUGUGUUAUGUGCACSUUCGGGUCGGAGCWWGWKCRCAUACKUGWGACMYCGRAAGAUGGUGAACUAUGYCUGCU
rnacentral:rRNA from 1 species